GAUGAACGCUGGCGGCGUGCAUAACACAUUCAAGUCGAACGGAAGUAGCAAUACUUUAGUGGCGGACGGGUGAGUAACGCGUAAGCAAUCUGCCUCUGUGAGUGGAAUAACAGCUGGAAACGGCUGCUAAUACCGCAUGACGCAACGGAACCGCAUGAUUCUGUUGCCAAAAGAUUUAUCGCACGGAGAUGAGCUUGCGUCCGAUUAGAUAGUUGGCGGGGUAACGGCCCACCAAGUCGACGAUCGGUAGCCGGACUGAGAGGUUGAACGGCCACAUUGGAACUGAGAACGGUCCAGACUCCUACGGGAGGCAGCAGUGGGGAAUAUUGGGCAAUGGACGAAAGUCUGACCCAGCGACGCCGCGUGAGGGAUGAAGAUCUUCGGAUUGUAAACCUUUAGUCAAACCAAGGGACGGAAGCAAGUGACGGUACCUGUGGAGGAAGCCACGGCUAACUACGUG
rnacentral:rRNA from 1 species